AGCGAACGCUGGCGGCAGGCUUAACACAUGCAAGUCGAGCGGCCGCCCAUGUGGUGUUUGCUGCAGACGGGGGCGUGACGCGGGGGAGCGUGCCAUUCGGUUGGAACUAACUCAGCGAGGCUUGAGCUGAUAGCGGAUACGCGCGAAUACAGCAAAGUUCCUCUGGCGAAGAACCGGCGAGCGUCGGAUUCGGUAGGUGGGAAUGUUAUGGCUCACCAAGGCGACGAUCACUAGAUGGUCUGAGAGGAUGAUCAGCCACACUAGGACUGAGCCACGGCGCAGACUACUACGGGAGGCAGCAGUGGGGAAUAUUGGACAAUGGGGGCAAUGCUGAUCCAGCCAUGCCGCGUGAGUGAUGACGGCCUUAGGGUUGUAAAGCUCUUUUCUUCGGGACGAUAAUGACGGUACCGGAGGAAUAAGCCCCGGCUAACUUCGUG
rnacentral:rRNA from 1 species